UGGGGAAUCUUGGACAAUGGGGGCAACCCUGAUCCAGCGAUGCCGCGUGGGUGAAGAAGGCCUUCGGGUUGUAAAGCCCUUUAGGCUGGGAAGAAGAUUGCGGGGUGAAUAAUCCUGUAAUUUGACGGUACCAGCAGAAUAAGCACCGGCAAACUCUGUGCCAGCAGCCGCGGUAAUACAGAGGGUGCAAGCGUUAAUCGGAUUUACUGGGCGUAAAGGGCGCGUAGGCGGUUAUGUGAGUGUGAUGUGAAAGCCCCGGGCUCAACCUGGGAAGUGCAUCGCAAACGACAUAACUGGAGUAGGUGAGAGGGUGGCGGAAUUUCCGGUGUAGCGGUGAAAUGCGUAGAGAUCGGAAGGAACGUCAAUGGCGAAGGCAGCCACCUGGUACCAUACUGACGCUGAGGCGCGAAAGCGUGGGGAGCAAACAGG
rnacentral:rRNA from 1 species